AGUGGAUGGGGAGCAACCUAGUUGUGCGUGUGUAAAGGUAGUGCCAAGAAAAGCGAUGAUCAUGUUGAAAAUCAAUUCCCGGUACCCGAAACCGACACAGGUGGGCAAGUAGAGAAUACUAAGGGGCGCGAGGUAACUCUCUCCAAGGAACUCGGCAAAAUGACCCCGUAACUUAGGGAGAAGGGGUGCCACCGAGAGGUGGUCGCAGUGAAGAGGCCCAGGCGACUGUUUAGCAAAAACAUAGGUCUCUGCAAACUCGAAAGAGGAGGUAUAGGGGCUGACGCCUGCCCAGUGCCGGAAGGUUAAAGAAGUUGGUCAGUUUUAGGAUGAAGCUAGCGACUGAAGCCCCGGUGAACGGCGGCCGUAACUAUAACGGUCCUAAGGUAGCGAAAUUCCUUGUCGGGUGAGUUCCGACCCGCACGAAAGGCGUAACGAUCUGGGCGCUGUCUCGGAGAGAGGCUCGGCGAAAUAGGAUUGUCUGUGAAGAUACGGACUACCUGCAUUUGGACAGAAAGACCCUAUGAAGCUUUACUAUAGCUUGGAAUUGUGUUCGGGCUUCCUGUGCGCAGGAUAGGUGGGAGGCGUAGAAGGUAUUCUUGUGGGGAUACUGGAGCCAACGGUGAGAUACCACUCUCAGGAGGCUAGAAUUCUAACUUAAUUAAGGACAGUUUCAGGUGGGUAGUUUGACUGGGGCGGUCGCCUCCAAAAAGGUAACGGAGGCGUACAAAGGUUCCCUCAGACUGGUUGGAAAUCAGUCGAAGAGUGCAAAGGCAGAAGGGAGCUUGACUGCGAGAAGUACAGUUCGAGCAGGGUGGAAACACGGUCUUAGUGAUCCGACGGUGCUGUGUGGAAGGGCCGUCGCUCAACGGAUAAAAGUUACUCUAGGAUAACAGGCUGAUCUCCCCCAAGAGUUCACAUCGACGGGGAGGUUUGGCACCUCGAUGUCGGCUCAUCGCAACCUGGGGCGGAAGUACGUCCCAAGGGUUGGGCUGUUCGCCCAUUAAAGCGGUACGUGAGCUGGGUUCAGAACGUCGUGAGACAGUUCGGUCCAUAUCCGAUGUAGGCGUGAGAAUAUUGAGAGGAGCCUUCCUUAGUACGAGAGGACCGGGAAGGACGCACCGCUGGUGUACCUGUUAUGAUGCCAAUUGUAAACGCAGGGUAGCCAAGUGCGGAGAGGAUAACCGCUGAAAGCAUCUAAGUGGGAAGCCCACCUCAAGAUGAGUAUUCUGGUGUAAGGUCACGGGAAGACGACCCGUAAAUAGGCACGAGGUGGAAGUGCAGAGAUGUAUGAAGCCGAAGUGUACUAAUAGACCGUCGGCUUGACC
rnacentral:rRNA from 1 species